GUGCCGUUCCCAUUGGUCGGGGCCCUGCACGGGGUUCAGCUGUUCGGGGCGGCGGCGGGGGCGGAGCUUCGGCAGGCGGCCACGCCCAGCGCCCAGCUGGGCUGGGCUGGCUACGGGGACAGCCUCACCCUGAUCGGGCUCAGCCCCGCCCCCGGCCCCGCCCUCGCCCGGAUCCUCGACUCCGCCUACGGCGCCAUGGUGAGAGCCCCGCCCCCCCCGACCAGUAUAAACCAGUAUAAACCAGUAUAAACCAGUAUAGACCAGUAUAAACCAGUAUAGACCAGUAUAAACCAGUAUAAACCAGUAUAGACCAGUAUAAACCAGUAUAAACCAGUACGAACCCGUUUGGCCCGCUAAAAAGCCGUCCAGACCACUAUAAACCAGUAUAAACCAGUAUAGACCAGUAUAAACCAGUAUGGCCCAGUAUGGCCCAGUAUGGCCCGGUAAGGUCCAGUGAGCCCCCACGCACCUCCCAGUUCAGCCCAGUCCCUCCCAGUGCUCCCAGUUUAUCCCAGUUCCUCCCCAGCCCCAUUCCCAGUUUGUCCCAGUUCUCCCCAGUCUAUCCCAGUUUGUCCCAGUUUGUCCCAGUUCCCCCCAGCCCCAUUCCCAGUUCCCCCCAGUCUCUCCCAGUCCCUCCCAGUCCAUCCCAGUUCCAUUCCCAGUCUGUCCCAGUCUGUCCCAGUCCCUCCCAGUUCCCCCCAGUCCCCCCCAGUCCCUCCCAGUCCCUCCCAGUCUGUCCCAGCCCCAUUCCCAGUUUGUCCCAGUCUGUCCCAGUUCCCCCCAGUCCCUCCCAGUUCCAUCCCAGUCUGUCCCAGCCCCAUUCCCAGUUUGUCCCAGUCCCUCCCAGUCCCUCCCAGUUCAUCCCAGUCCCUCCCAGUCCCUCCCAGUCCCUCCCAGUCUGUCCCAGUUCCCCCCAGUCCAUCCCAGUGCCGCAGGUGCUGCUGCUGGGCCGGGAGCAGCUGCAGCCGCCCCGCAACGAGGAGAGGCUGAAACGGGAGCUGAGGGUGAGACUGGGACAGACUGGGAUAAACUGGGAUAAACUGGGACGGACUAUGAGGGACUGGGACAGACUGGGAUAAACUGGGAGGGACUGGGAGGGACUGGACUGGGAGGGACUGGGAGGGACUGGGAGGGACUGGGAUAAACUGGGACGGACUGGGAAUGGGGCUGGGGAGG
rnacentral:lncRNA from 1 species